ensembl:snRNA U6 U6 spliceosomal RNA
GUGCUCGCUUCGGCAACACAUAUACUAAAAUUGGAAUGAUACAGAGAAGAUUAGCAUGGCCCCUGCACAAGGAUGACACUCAAAUUCGUGAAGCAUUCCAUAUUUUU